GCUGGCAUGGUGGCUCACAUCUAUAAUCCCAGCACUUUGGGAGGCCAAGGUGGGAGGAUCACUUGAGGCCAGGCGUUAAGAAACCAGCUUGAACAACAUAGUAAGACCUCAUCUCUACAAAAAAUACAAAAAUUAGAGAAUGUGCUCCAUCAAAAAGAGAGAAUAAACCAAGAAGAGGAAGACAGAGGAUCCGGAAACAGGGAUGAUGGUGCACGGAAGUCCCAGGAUGACAGCUGUGCAUCAGGCCUUCAGCAGCCAGGAUGGGAGCAGAAGGAUGGGGAGCUCUGGGAGUGUCUCCAAGAAAGAAAAAGAAACUGAUCAAAUAUCUAAUUUUUAAAACAUAUUGAGGGGAAAUUUAUACUUCUGCAAUAAAUUUUAGGAUAUCGUAAUAGAAACUAAGAAAAUAACAAAUAAAAAAACAAAAAAACAAAAAACAAGGUAAUUAUCAACCGCGGGAGAAGAAAGGUUGUAUGAGAAAAGAAAUAAAAACAGAAUUCAGUACAUGGAUCAGC
rnacentral:lncRNA from 1 species